rnacentral:lncRNA from 10 species
GCACAAUCUCGGCUUACUGCAUCCUCAGCCUCCCAGAUUCAAGGGAUUCUCCUGCCUCAGCCUCCCAAGUAGCUGGGAUUACAGGCACCCUGCAUUAAAGAGCUAGCAGACUACAGGACUCAGAGAAAAUAAAGUAAUUGACAAGGAGGUUCUGAUAGUCAAGGGAAGCCUUUGAAAGGUCCAGAACAUGUGGUUCAUCAGGAAGCUCUUGAAGCCUCUAGGAGCAUAAUGGGAUCACUAGACAAUGAGAUGGAGACGCCAAAAUUAGAUUUGCCUUCUUUACCGUAUAUUCUCCGGCAGUCUCUAACCUCAAUGUGCAUUAAUCAAUUCU